rnacentral:rRNA from 1 species
AAAUUGAAGAGUUUGAUCAUGGCUCAGAUUGAACGCUGGCGGCAGGCCUAACACAUGCAAGUCGAACGGUAGCACAGAGAGCUUGCUCUCGGGUGACGAGUGGCGGACGGGUGAGUAAUGUCUGGGAAACUGCCUGAUGGAGGGGGAUAACUACUGGAAACGGUGGCUAAUACCGCAUAAUGUCGCAAGACCAAAGAGGGGGACCUUCGGGCCUCUUGCCAUCAGAUGUGCCCAGAUGGGAUUAGCUAGUUGGUGAGGUAACGGCUCACCAA